AUUGAACGCUGGCGGCAGGCCUAACACAUGCAAGUCGAGCGGAGCGGCGGACGGGUGAGUAAUGCCUAGGACUCUGCCUGGUAGUGGGGGAUAACGUCCGGAAACGGGCGCUAAUACCGCAUACUAUCAGAUGAGCCUAGGUCGGAUUAGCUAGUUGGUGGGGUAAAGGCCUACCAAGGCGACGAUCCGUAACUGGUCUGAGAGGAUGGUCAGUCACACGGGAACUGAGACACGGCCCAGACUCGUACGGGCGGCAGCAGUGGGGAAUAUUGGACAAUGGGCGAAAGCCGGAUCCAGCCAUGCCGCGGGGGUGAAGAAGGUCUUCGGAUUGUAAAGUACUUUCAGCGGGGAGGCGUUACCCGCAGAAGAAGCAACGGCUAACUCCGUGCCAGCAGCCGCGGUAAUUC
rnacentral:rRNA from 1 species